rnacentral:rRNA from 1 species
CUUCGGGGUACACGAGCGGCGAACGGGUGAGUAACACGUGGGUAACCUGCCCUGUACUCUGGGAUAAGCCUUGGAAACGAGGUCUAAUACCGGAUACGACCAUGGGACGCAUGUCUUGUGGUGGAAAGUUCCGGCGGUAUGGGAUGGACCCGCGGCCUAUCAGCUUGUUGGUGGGGUAAUGGCCUACCAAGGCGACGACGGGUAGCCGGCCUGAGAGGGUGAUCGGCCACACUGGGACUGAGACACGGCCCAGACUCCUACGGGAGGCAGCAGUGGGGAAUAUUGCACAAUGGGCGAAAGCCUGAUGCAGCGACGCCGCGUGAGGGAUGACGGCCUUCGGGUUGUAAACCUCUUUCAGCAGGGACGAAGCGCAAGUGACGGUACCUGCAGAAGAAGCACCGGCUAACUACGUGCCAGCAGCCGCGGUAAUACGUAGGGUGCGAGCGUUGUCCGGAAUUAUUGGGCGUAAAGAGCUCGUAGGCGGUUUGUCGCGUCGGCCGUGAAAACUUGGGGCUUAACUCCAAGCUUGCGGUCGAUACGGGCAGACUUGAGUUCGGCAGGGGAGACUGGAAUUCCUGGUGUAGCGGUGAAAUGCGCAGAUAUCAGGAGGAACACCGGUGGCGAAGGCGGGUCUCUGGGCCGAUACUGACGCUGAGGAGCGAAAGCGUGGGGAGCGAACAGGAUUAGAUACCCUGGUAGUCCACGCCGUAAACGGUGGGUGCUAGGUGUGGGGGGGCUUC